rnacentral:rRNA from 1 species
UGGGGAAUAUUGCGCAAUGGGGGAAACCCUGACGCAGCAACGCCGCGUGAAGGAAGAAGGUCUUCGGAUUGUAAACUUUUGUCUUCAGGGACGAUAAUGACGGUACCUGAGGAGGAAGCUCCGGCUAACUACGUGCCAGCAGCCGCGGUAAUACGUAGGGAGCGAGCGUUGUCCGGAAUUACUGGGUGUAAAGGGUGCGUAGGCGGCUACGCAAGUCAGGUGUGAAAUCUAUGGGCUCAACCCAUAGCCUGCACUUGAAACUGCGUGGCUUGAGUGAUGGAGAGGUAAGCGGAAUUCCUAGUGUAGCGGUGAAAUGCGUAGAUAUUAGGAGGAACACCAGUGGCGAAGGCGGCUUACUGGACAUUUACUGACGCUGAGGCACGAAAGCGUGGGGAGCAAACAGG